GACAACAUACAUUGUGACAUUGUAUACAGAUAGUGAAAGUCACUACACACAAUGUGACAAUGUGUACAGAUAAGGUUUUGGACAGCAUACAUUGUGACAUUGUAUACAGAUUGUGAAAGUCACUACACACAAUGUGACAAUGUGUACAGAUAAGGUAUUGAACAGCAUACAUUGUGACAUUGUAUACAGAUAGUGAAAGUCACUACACACAAUGUGACAAUGUGUAUAGAUAAGGUAUUGGACAGCAUACAUUGUGACAUUGUAUACAGAUAGUGAAAGUCACUACACACAAUGUGACAAUGUGUACAGAUAAGGUAUUGGACAGCAUACAUUGUGACAUUGUAUACAGAUAGUGAAAGUCACUACACACAAUGUGAUAAUGUGUACAGAUAAGGUAUUGGACAGCAUACAUUGUGACAAUGUUUGCAAGUUUUUUCAAUGUUAAUUAUUAUAUAGAUAAAAAUAAAUAUUGUUUUGUAUUUUGAUACUAUUGUUACUCAGUUCUUUAAAUACUAAAAGUUGUUGUUGUAACUUCAAAAUUAAAGUCAGUAAAGUAUAGAAAACCUA